UACGGAGGGGGCGAGCGUUAUUCGGAAUUAUUGGGCGUAAAGGGCGCGUAGGCGGCUUGGUAAGUCAAAGGUGAAAUCCCUCGGCUCAACUGAGGAAUUGCCUUUGAAACUGCCUGGCUCGAGGCCGGGAGGGGGUAGCGGAAUUCCCAGUGUAGCGGUGAAAUGCGUAGAUAUUGGGAGGAACACCGGUGGCGAAGGCGGCUCACUGGCUCAUUACUGACGCUCAGGCGCGAUAGCGUGGGGAUCAAACAGG
rnacentral:rRNA from 1 species